GAUGAACGCUGGCGGCGUGCCUAAUACAUGCAAGUCGAGCGAACGGACGAGAAGCUUGCUUCUCUGAUGUUAGCGGCGGACGGGUGAGUAACACGUGGAUAACCUACCUAUAAGACUGGGAUAACUUCGGGAAACCGGAGCUAAUACCGGAUAAUAUUUUGAACCGCAUGGUUCAAAAGUGAAAGACGGUCUUGCUGUCACUUAUAGAUGGAUCCGCGCUGCAUUAGCUAGUUGGUAAGGUAACGGCUUACCAAGGCAACGAUGCAUAGCCGACCUGAGAGGGUGAUCAGCCACACUGGAACUGAGACACGGUCCAGACUCCUACGGGAGGCAGCAGUAGGGAAUCUUCCACAAUGGGCGAAAGCCUGACGGAGCAACGCCGCGUGAGUGAUGAAGGUCUUCGGAUCGUAAAACUCUGUUAUUAGGGAAGAACAUAUGUGUGAGAAACUGUGCACAUCUUGACGGUACCUAAACAGAAAGCCACGGCUAACUACGUG
rnacentral:rRNA from 1 species